GGCUCUGUGGCGGAAUUGGUAGACGCGCACGACUCAAAAUCGUGUGGGCAUUGCCCGUCUCGGUUCGAUCCCGAGCAGAGCCA
rnacentral:tRNA from 1 species